CCGGUUAAUGCCGGGAGUUUCAAGAUGAAAAGUGUGUCUGGCAGGGCCCGGGAGGUUUGCAGCCGGGUCCUGCGCAAUGAUUCCUGCGAAUCGUGUCAGGACGGGAACGUAGCAGCACUAAGCAGAUUCCUUCAUGUGCCGCAGGGAAGCCUUGCCGUGAUCCCCCGGGUUCUGCCAGGUACAUUUUUAAGAUCAGAACCGG
rnacentral:SRP_RNA from 1 species